rnacentral:rRNA from 1 species
UGGGGAAUUUUCCGCAAUGGGCGAAAGCCUGACGGAGCAAUGCCGCGUGGAGGUGGAAGGCCUACGGGUCGUCAACUUCUUUUCUCGGAGAAGAAACAAUGACGGUAUCUGAGGAAUAAGCAUCGGCUAACUCCGUGCCAU